AAUUGGGCCCGACGUCGCAUGCUCCCGGCCGCCAUGGCCGCGGGAUUCACAUUGCGCCCCCUGGUAUUCCGGGGGGCAUGCCUGUUCGAGCGUCAUAAAAACCUCCUCCCCCUUCGGGUUUGAUUACUAUCGUUGGGGGGUUUUGGCCUAAUGGGAUAGCGAUUGGCAAUUAGUUUCCCAAUGUCCUAAAUAGACGUAGACCCGCCUCCAGAUGCGACAGCACCGAGGCCAUCGACCGUGGAGUUAUGGGAUAUAUAGGCUUGCAGUAAAAUGCUCACCUUUCUCCAUACGCCGAUGGCACACCGGUCGCAGUUGCGGGCGUAAAUUGGAGUCCUUUUCAGGACCCUCGUGGCCUAGCAUCCACCAUACACAAUUUGACCUCGGAUCAGGUAGGGAUACCCGCUGAACUUAAGCAUAUCAAUAAGCGGAGGAAAAGAAACCAACAGGGAUUGCCUCAGUAACGGCGAGUGAAGCGGCAAAAGCUCAAAUUUUAAAGCUGGCAUCUUCGGUGUCCGCGUUGUAAUUUUGUGAGGCAUCUCCGGGUAGGGCGCCGGCCUAAGUUCCUUGGAACAGGACGUCACAGAGGGUGAGAAUCCCGUGCUUGGCUGGCUGUCCCCGUCCAUGUGAGGUGUCUUCGACGAGUCGAGUUGUUUGGGAAU
rnacentral:sRNA from 1 species